rnacentral:tRNA from 1 species
GGUCCGCUGGCGUAAUGGCAGCGCGUCUGACUACGAUUAACCAAGUAAUCAGGAGGUUCCAGGUUCGACCCCUGGGCGGAUCG